rnacentral:rRNA from 1 species
ACUGGGACUGAGACACGGCCCAGACUCCUACGGGAGGCAGCAGUGGGGAAUUUUCCGCAAUGGGCGCAAGCCUGACGGAGCAAUACCGCGUGAGGGAGGAAGGCCUUUGGGUUGUAAACCUCUUUUCUUAAGGAAGAAGAUCUGACGGUACUUAAGGAAUCAGCAUCGGCUAACUCCGUGCCAGCAGCCGCGGUAAUACGGAGGAUGCAAGCGUUAUCCGGAAUUAUUGGGCGUAAAGCGUCCGCAGGCGGCACUAUAAGUCUGCUGUCAAAGACCGCAGCUCAACUGCGGAAAGGCAGUGGAAACUGUAGAGCUAGAGUACGGUAGGGGUAGAGGGAAUUCCCAGUGUAGCGGUGAAAUGCGUAGAGAUUGGGAAGAACACCAGUGGCGAAAGCGCUCUACUGGGCCGUAACUGACGCUCAGGGACGAAAGCUAGGGGAGCGAAAGGGAUUAGAUACCCCUGUAGUCCUAGCUGUAAACGAUGGAUACUAGGCGUAGCUUGUAUCGACCCGAGCUGUGCCGAAGCUAACGCGUUAAGUAUCCCGCCUGGGGAGUACGCACGCAAGUGUGAAACUCAAAGGAAUUGACGGGGGCCCGCACAAGCGGUGGAGUAUGUGGUUUAAUUCGAUGCAACGCGAAAGACCUUACCAGGGCUUGACAUGUCGCGAAUCUGAGGGAAACCUCAGAGUGCCUUCGGGAGCGCGAACAC